AGGAAGAUCUGAUUGUGUCAGUGUCGAUCGCCCUCACCUCGUCUCGAGGACUGAAGGUGAUCUGAGUGGACCCGCCCCCCAAAUCCAACAUCCCCACAGUGGGCGAGUCAGCUCUGUGAAGAUCACCUGGAGAGAGAGACAGAGAGAGAGAGAGAGAGACAGAGAGAGAGACAGAGAGAGAGAGAAGGGGGGAAUAAGACAAAAUAGAAAAAGAGAGAGAUUAGGAAAAACAGAGAGAGCUGCAGGAUAAUCCAAUAACAGAGCGGGACCUCUGAGGUUUUUCUGUGCGGUGAUAAACAAGGAGAAACAUCUGAGCUGCUCCACAGAUUAAACAAAUGAAAGGAUGAGGAGAUUCUCUGUAAUCUAAUAAACUGAUGAAGAGACCUGAUGAGAGGUCAGCAACCACAGGACGCCAUUAAAGGACCACUCAGCUUUAUAAGCACUGCAUUAAUGCUGAGCAACUUCCAAACACUAAUUAAUCACAAUAAAAGCUCUUGGAGCCACAUCCCGACAGGAAGUCGGCCAUUUUUCGUUGAACUUGAACAAACUCCUCCUACAGAAUCGAUGUGAUUGAACUCUAAAGACCUUCGUCACCUUCCAGCUCAAACAUUCACUACGUUUGUUAUCGGUGCUGCUUGGAAGACUUCCCACCUUCAUCAGUGCCGUCCAUGAUGGACACGCUGUCGUCUCUGGACAGAAAGGGAGACUCCAGAAACAGCGCCCUCACCUGGACACAAAGGGAAGCACAGGGUGGUAAAACUAAUGUGACACAUGUAUUAGAAUAUAAUAAUAAUUUAAUAUUUUAAUAAUAUUUAGUGUCAUCAGCUCUGCUCCUGUUAUUACUUAUUACUGAAGAGCUUUAUAGACCAUGAAGAGGAUGAAGAGGAUGAUGAUGAGGCAUUAGCAACUCACUGCCAUAAUGCAGACUGAUUGAUUGAUUGAUUGAUUGAUAAUUAAACAGUUUGAUCUUUAACAUGUUGUAACAAAGUGUUUCUUUUAGGGGUUUCAAUGUAAAUGUCUUUAUUAAUGUAUUUAUUGUUAUUUACUAUUACUGUCUGUCACUGGACAAUAUACGGAUGAUAAUAAUAAUAAUAAUAAUAAUAAUAAUAAUAAUAUGAACAUUUCUGUGUGUUUUAUUUUGAAAAACAAUGUGUGUGUGUCUCACCUUGUCCAGCAGGUGUUUGGCUUUCUCCCCCGGCAGCAGUCGCAGGCCGGCUGUGGCCUUCAGGACCACAGGGGUGAUGGUCCACAGGGAGGGGGGGACGCUGGACUUCGCCACCUCCAGAAGCUCCACGAUACCGGCUGUACACUGGACGCACGGGAGGAGACACACAAUGACACCAAUCUGAUGGAUGCUAACGUGCUAACGUGCUAACAGCAACGUACGGGCCUAUGAGAGAGUCAGUGUGAUGAAACAGUGUGAAAGCUCAACGAGGUCAGUCCUGUGUUGUAAUAAUGAAUAAUAUCAGAUCAGGUGGAUUACAGACAGAUGAUGACGUAGCACCUUCUCUGGAUCAUCAGCGUACGCAGACAGUCCAGGUUUGAUGGCUCUGAACGUCUCGUGGGCCAGUGUGGGAGCUUCUGCAGGAAACACGAUGAAGAUAAAGUUUAAACAACGACCUCUGUGUGUGUCCGAUUAAAGACAGGCAAUAAGUCCUGAUGAGUGUUUUACAAGCACAUUUAAUUUACUUUAUCUUUCUAACUGACCCUGGACCUGUGCCUACAUUUGAGCUGUCAUUAAGCUCUUAAUGACAAUCCCAGUCUGUAUAACUACCCGUUAGCUCUGAGGCUAACAAAGGAGCCAAAACAGCACUCAGCCUGUGUGAUUUAGCUUAGCGGUUAAAUGCGAUAACGAAGGCAUUUGGCCGAGCUCUGCAGGAAACUUUCUCUAAGCCUAAUAAACCCAAAACCUCUAAAACGCA